rnacentral:rRNA from 1 species
UGGGGAAUAUUGGACAAUGGGGGCAACCCUGAUCCAGCCAUGCCGCGUGGAUGACGAAGGUCUUUGGAUUGUAAAAUCCUUUCGCUAGGGAAGAUAAUGACGGUACCUAGUAAAGAAGCUCCGGCUAACUCCGUGCCAGCAGCCGCGGUAAUACGGAGGGGGCUAGCGUUGUUCGGAAUUACUGGGCGUAAAGCGCGCGUAGGCGGACUGUUAAGUCGGGGGUGAAAUCCCGGGGCCCAACCCCGGAACUGCCCUCGAUACUGGCAGCCUUGAGGACGGAAGAGGCGAGUGGAAUUCCGAGUGUAGAGGUGAAAUUCGUAGAUAUUCGGAGGAACACCAGUGGCGAAGGCGACUCGCUGGUCCGUUUCUGACGCUGAGGCGCGAAAGCGUGGGGAGCAAACAGGAUUAGAUACCCCCGUAGUCC